CUGCCGGGUCCGCCGGGGUGCUGACGGCGGUGGCCGCCCUGUGAGCGGAGCCCGGCCUGGGCAAAGGCAGGGCCGUAGGACCUCGCGCCACGUCCGGGCUCCGGGGCGGGGGCUGCGGGGGCGAAGCCCCCUCCCCGGGGAGGCGGGGCCUGGGCAAGCUCCCCGCUUGGGGAGCGGCGGCGGCCAGGAAGGAUGCAUCAGAAGCUGCUGAAGAGCGCACAUUAUAUCGAGCUGGGCAGCUACCAGUACUGGCCCGUCCUGGUGCCCCGCGGCAUCCGCCUCUACACCUACGAGCAGAUCCCCGUGUCCCUCAAGGACAACCCGUACAUCACCGACGGCUACCGGGCCUACCUGCCCUCCAGGCUGUGUAUCAAAAGUUUGUUUAUUUUAUCUAAUGAGACGGUAAACAUCUGGAGUCAUUUGCUGGGUUUCUUUCUCUUCUUCACACUGGGAAUAUAUGACAUGACAUCUGUGUUACCUUCAGCAAGUGCAUCCAGAGAAGACUUUGUAAUUUGUUCUAUUUGCCUUUUCUGCUUCCAGGUCUGUAUGCUUUGCUCUGUGGGCUAUCAUCUUUUUUCCUGCCAUCGAUCAGAAAAAACCUGUCGUAGAUGGAUGGCAUUAGAUUAUGCAGGAAUUUCUAUUGGAAUACUGGGCUGCUAUGUCUCUGGCGUAUUUUAUGCAUUUUAUUGUAAUAACUACUGGCGUCAAGUGUACUUGAUCACAGUGCUUGCUAUGAUCCUGGCGGUGUUCUUUGCUCAGAUUCAUCCCAAUUACCUCACACAGCAGUGGCAGAGGCUCCGUUCUAUCAUCUUUUGUUCUGUUUCGGGAUAUGGAGUGAUCCCUACUCUUCACUGGGUUUGGCUCAAUGGAGGAAUCGGUGCUCCUAUUGUGCAGGACUUUGCACCCCGUGUAAUUGUGAUGUAUGUGAUUGCUCUUCUUGCUUUCCUAUUCUACAUUUCCAAAGUUCCAGAAAGGUAUUUUCCAGGACAACUAAACUACCUCGGAUCAAGCCACCAAAUAUGGCAUGUCCUUGCAGUAGUGAUGUUAUAUUGGUGGCAUCAGUCAACAGUAUAUGUCAUGCAGUACAGACAUAGCAAGCCUUGUCCUGACUAUGUUUCACAUUUGUGAAUUCAGAAUCAGGAAUGAAGCUUCAGGGAAUGUGUGUCACAUCUUAAAGGCAUCCCGCCUGGACAGAGUAACCGAUUUGAAGAUUGUGAUUGACUGGCAUAAAGCUGUACAACUCUCCAUUUGGCAGGAGUUAAUAACAAGAGUCAGAAAUUAUCUACUGUUUAGAGGGAAACGGAGCAGCACCGAAUGGGUCCAAUUCGACUGGCUGGGCCUGUUGGGACUGAUGUGAGGUGACGCUUUGCACCACGAGUUCUGUAAAGGGCACGGCACCAAAAUCAUCCAUUUUCAACGCAUCUGCCCCGGGGAACGACCCGUGGAGUGAAUUCGGCCUGGGCCGCCCGGGCAGGACAGGGUUGUGGUCGGCACGGAUGUCGCUCAGGCCCUGAUGCGGGGGGUGCCACGGCAGGUCCGGAGGGUGGAACGGCUUGGCCCCAAAGGGGUCCAACAGACCCUCAUCGGCUUGCAGGACGUGCCCUCUGUCCUUCCCGUCGGUCAGGGCAACGCUGAUGUUCUCCUUGGAGUCCGAGAUGGUCAGAAAUUCAUUGCUGCUCUGGGAGUCCCGGCGGCCCACCCUCUUGUGCCUGCGGGCCCUCUCUGGGGUGCGGUAGGCGGGUUUGGCCGGCUUUUUGGCACCGGUGGGCGUGCCGUGGUGCCGCUUCCCGUUACUCUUGGCCGCCUCCUGCUUCGUGCGCCUCUGGCGGGAGGACAGUUUCUGCAAGCUGCGCUGCUUGACUUUUUGCUGCUGACUGCCGGUUAUCUCCUCAAAGGGCACCAGCCCAAAAAGGUCCUCGUUGCUGUCGCUUUUACUUGCUGAUGUGGGCAAGGGCUGGAACGGAGUGGAGCCAAAUAUAUCCACACACUGCGGACGAGCGGGGAGCGCAGGCGCGUCGGGCACGGGCACCUUCUUGCUGAAGGGCGCCUUGGUGAAGACAUCGAACUCCUCGGGCUCCAGCCCCACGGCGGGAAGCCGGCUCUCGGGGGAGGGGUCCUUCUCCGGCUCCCCUUGGCGGGGCUGUUGAGCACGUGCAGCAAAGAAGGGGACGGCGCCAAAGACAUCAAACUCCGGUCUGGGAGUCCCCGCCCCGACGUCCGAGGGUAACUGGGUGGGCGUGAGGACUGCUGCACUAGGAUCCUGGAUCGCUCCGCUGCCAGAUGUGUCUCUGUAGACCGCGCUGCCGUCGCUAUACUUGGCUUUGGCCUGCUCGUAAUCCGAAUCGGAGCUGUGUUUCUCUUCUUCUUCCUCAUCUUCAGAAUCCAUAAGCAGAGGCCUGUGACCCAGAUUUUCCGGCUCAGUAUCGUCAUCGUUAAAAUCUCCUUGUUCUCCCUGAAGAACUUCUUCAUCCUCUUGCUCUUCCUCUUCGCUGCUCUUAGGAGAAGGGGGAUCUGAUUCAAAAUCACUCUCAGAUUCAUCGUUCCCCUUUUGCAGUUGACCGUGUACUGAUGAAUUCUCUGAGGUUUUCUUUCCAGUCCGGUGGUCUUUAGAUACUGGGCUUGCUUUUGUAUUCUUGAUAGGGUUUUCAGUGCUAUUUUCUUGAUUCAUGGAUGAAUGUUCAACUUUCUUUUCAGGAGAACCUGCAAAUUCAAAGAAAAAUUAUUAUAUCAUUCCAAUGCAUUUCAAAAACCAUUUACAGUAAACAUUAUGUACUAACACAAAGCAUUACAGAUCACUCAUGGCAGUUCCCUUAGAGGAAGAUGUAACGGCAGUUCUUUAUCAUUAGGCUUGAGGGGGGCGGGGAUGCACCUGGCCUCAUAGUCGAUGGUUAGGUCCUUCAGUGCAGACAGACUUACUUGUCUCUCUACCCUACACACCACCUACUCACCACAGGUGCUCACUGACAGCUAAGUCUUACUUACAGUACCCAGAAUAGGACUCUGAAUACAGUACACAAGCACAUUUUCUUCUUCCACCUUCAAAAUAAGAUUAUCCAGUCAGUUGCCCUGCUCAGACCCCAUGUUUGCCCAACAGCCUUCUGCUUAUAUUUCAACUCUGUUAUGAAGUUUUCCCACAGAGAUCAGCAAGCAUGAAUAGCUUAUCUGCUUAGUUAUGUUUUGCUGUGUAAUUUUUAAAUUGGCAUUCUGGUGUUUUUUUGUAAACAAGUAUCUUAUGAGUUGGGUUAACAUGAGUGCAUCCCCAGAGCCUGAUCAAAACUAAGGACCAGCUACUGAACUGAGACGGUACCAAGGAUAGCUGCCUUCCCUAGAUGCCACAUCUUCCGUAAACUGUCAUACCUGUACUAAUAGACAUGAUAUUAAAAGCAUGCUACUUUAAUAAAAAUCUUAACUAUCAGUAUGUUCACUGUAUGAUAGGUAAUAAAACUGUAUCAAAUACAGUGCUCUACAAUUUCACUGUAUGAUAUACAGUAAAGAUAAACAGUAUGUUAGUUUACAUGAAAACAUACAGCCCUCCCAAUACACUGGUGUACUGAAUUGAUUUUCCAGAGGUAGGAAACAAUUUGAAUUGAUCCAACCACAUAUCCAUUUAUCCCUUCCCCUCUAAGAUCAGAUAUUUUCAAAACAAUUAGCUAGGGUUGGAAGUAUAGUCUUUAGUCAUGGAAACUAAUUAUACCUUAUGACGGAAGGACCAUUUCUUUUGCGUUAUUAACAAAGUGGUCUCCAUGGCACAGGACACCUCUGAGUUAUUUCCUUCUCUUUGAAAGUCAGCACUGUUGUCUUUCCCACCUCUCUAUUCCCUCUUGGUCAUAUUUGUAGAGACUUCUCUUUCACAAACAUCUCCCUACACAUGUACGCUCCCCAGGGUUCUAUCCUUGGCUGUCUUUCUCCCUCUGCAUGUCCUGCCCUGGGUCCUAACUACUUGUAUGUUAAUCAGCAUUUACACAGUAAUGAGUGGACCUCUGAUUCUUACCAUGAAUACUCAUAUAUCCUAUUCAUCUAAUACUUAUCAUAAAUAUGUAUCUCCUACCAUUACUUCAAACUCAGUAAUUUCAAGAGAUCAUCUUUUCUCUUAAAAUGUGUCCUCACCAGUCCCUCUAAAUUAGUGAACAACACUUCCAUCUACCUACCAAGUUCUGAAAACUAGCAGAAAUCUAUAAAUCAUAUUCCCUCUUCCCACCAAAUAGUGUUUUUAAACUCUGGAAUCGGGUCCCUCCUCUCCCUCUGCCAGCUGUCUAUCCCAUCCCCUCAUCUUCAUCCAGCAACUCCUUAGCCUCUAAACUUGCCUGUCUGCCUCUAGUACCAUAUCCCUCAAACUGCUCCUUUACACUAUCACCAGAAUAACCCUUCUGACACACUAAUCAUGUGGCUACUGCUGAAAACCCUUCAGCGUCUCUCUGAGGAAAAGGGGAUCCACCACUGAGCCCUCAGGUAUAAACCAUUUAGAAGUCAACAGAGGAACCUGCAAAGCAAACAGGGAAGUGCCAGAGAGGAAGACCAAAUGCAGGUGAGUGUAAUGUUGCCGAAGCCAAGAGAGGAGAGUGUUUCCGGGGGAGGGAGUAGACAACUGCGCAGGGUGAUGCAAAGAAGUCCAAUGAACUGACGACGGAAAUGGCCACUGGCUCCGGUCAGCUCAUGCAGGUUGUUGACAACCGUGAAGCGGGGAGUGGGGAGGAAAUCUAGUGGGGCUGAGGAGUGAGGGGGAGAGAAGAUGUGGAGAUUUCUAUCAGUUAUACUUAAAUACAAAUAUAAUCUUCAUCCAUUAUUCAUCUGCCAGUUCCCUGAAACCAGCCAAGAGUUAUAUGCUGUAUCUUUACAUAUUCAUAAUAAGCUUAUCUUAAAUCCUAACAGAUUAAAAUCAAAUCAAAUGCAGAUUUUCAUUUGACUUCUCCAUACAGCAUACUUCUGAUAUUAAAAACAAAGAUUACUUUUAGAUUAGCCAGAGCAUUUAUUUUCAUGAAUUUUUAUCCAAAAGCAAAAAAUGCGAUGGCAAAGACUUGCAAUCACCCCUGACUUUAGGACAGUCCCUCUAAGAUACACGUUAACUUAGUACCUCUUCAGGCACUUACCCACCCACAGAGAGCCACAUGGGCACCCCUCCUGCCUGCUCAUGGACGCCUCCAGGAACAUUCCAGUAUGCUUCCUAAAGUGUCUUCUGCAGAACGCCUAUUCCCGUAACAAGAACCAAACAGUUCUGUGGUCUCAGGCGCAUGAGUUUAUGAAAUGCUGCACUUUACAAUGUACCCCUCACCACCACCACUCACCUGGAAAAUGCUCAUCGUACUAAAGGUGCUGACACAUUGUACACAGAAGAAUCUGACUGAAUGAAGCCUA